rnacentral:Y_RNA from 1 species
GGCUGGUCCCAGAACAGUGGUGUUUACAGCUAACUGAUUACAACCAGUUCAGAUUUCCUUGUUCCUUCUCUACUCCACUGUUUCAUUUGACUGGCCUAAA